rnacentral:rRNA from 1 species
GACAGAGGCCUCAAGCGUUAGGCGGAAUCACUGGGCUUAAAGCGUGUGUAGGCGGAUCGUUAAGUACCUUGUGAAAUCCCACGGCUCACCCGUGGAACUGCUGGGUAUACUGGCGGUCUUGGGCCAACUAGGGGCAGCUGGAACAAGCGGUGGAGCGGUGAAAUGCGUAGAGAUCGGAAAGAACACCAACGGCGAAAGCACUCUGCUGGGCCGACACUGACACUGAGAGACGAAAGCUAGGGGAGCGAAUGGG